GAAAGGGAAAGGGACACCAGCCCCAGCCGGAGGAGCGCUCGGCGUGGGAGGAGAGGGGGAUGAUGUUCCAUCCCGGCAGCAUCUCAUCGCGGCUCGUCCCCGCCUUCCUCACCCGGGCCGAGGCGGCGGGAGGCGGGAUGAGGAGCAGUUCUCCACCGCAGCUGAAAUCUUCAUGAUGUGAGACUGAUCAGCAGGAUCUUCGAAACCACUGCCUCUUCACUUCCUUGACUGUGAGGACUUUUCCUGUCUACCGUGUCUCACCUCUACUGUGAGGUGAAUUUCACAGCAGACCAGAUCCAAGCAGUCAUGGACAAGAAGUCCAGCAUUAGGAAUAUGUCUGUGAUUGCUCCUGUGGAUCACAGCAAACCUACCUUCGCUGACCUCUUGGUGUCUAAAGCAGGCAUCAUCACUUCAGCCAGAGCUGGAGGAAAACAAUUCACAGACACACGGAAAGGCUGAUCCGAUUACCAGUGCUGUUGGAGGAAGCACAAAUCCUUCCAGUUGAGCAUUGAAGGAAAGUGGAAGAUCUGAUGAAAAAAACUCUGAGAUGGUAAG